rnacentral:rRNA from 1 species
GACGAACGCUGGCGGCGUGCUUAACACAUGCAAGUCGAACGGAAAGGCCCUGCUUUUGUGGGGUGCUCGAGUGGCGAACGGGUGAGUAACACGUGAGUAACCUGCCCUUGACUUUGGGAUAACUUCAGGAAACUGGGGCUAAUACCGGAUAGGAGCUCCUGCUGCAUGGUGGGGGUUGGAAAGGUUCGGCGGUUGGGGAUGGACUCGCGGCUUAUCAGCUUGUUGGUGGGGUAGUGGCUUACCAAGGCUUUGACGGGUAGCCGGCCUGAGAGGGUGACCGGCCUCAUUGGGACUGAGAUACGGACCAGACUCGUACGGGAGGCAGCAGUGGGGAAUAUUGCGCAAUGGGCGGAAGCCUGAUGCAGCAACGCCGCGUGCGGGAUGACGGCCUUCGGGUUGUAAACCGCUUUCGCCUGUGACGAAGCGUGAGUGACGGUAAUGGGUAAAGAAGCACCGGCUAACUACGUG